AUCGAACCCGUGACCUCAAGGUUAUGAGCCUCGUGAGCUACCAAACUGCUCUAC
rnacentral:tRNA from 3 species